rnacentral:miRNA from 1 species
UGAGGAGCCUAAGUCUUGUACUAAAGUGUUUUAGCUAAGAUACAAGAGGAUGGGGUUGGAGAGAUGGCUCAGCCGUUAAAGGCUAGGCUCACAACCAAAAGUAUA